rnacentral:rRNA from 1 species
GACGAACGCUGGCGGCGUGCUUAACACAUGCAAGUCGAACGGACAGGCAUCUUUCGGGGGGUACUCGAGUGGCGAACGGGUGAGUAACACGUGAGUAAACUGCCCUUGACUUUGGGAUAACUUAAGGAAACUGGGGCUAAUAACGGAUAGGAGAUCCUGCUGCCUGGUGGGGGUUGGAAAGUUUCGGCGGCUGGGGAUGGAUAUGCAGCUUAUCAGCUUGUCGGUGGAGAAGUGGCUAACCAAGGCUUUGACGGGAAGCCCGCCUGUGACAGUGACCGGCGAGCUUGAGACUAAGAUGCGGCCCAAGCUCCUACUGCAGCCAACAGUGUGGAAGAUUGCAAGAUGGGUGGAAGCCUGAUGCAGCAACGCCGCGUACGGGAACACUGCCUUCGGGUUGUAGACCACUUUCGUUCAUGACGAAGCAUUGUUUGACGGUAGUAGAUAAAGAAGCACCGGCUAACUACGUG